rnacentral:rRNA from 1 species
UUUUAUGGAGAGUUUGAUCCUGGCUCAGGAUGAACGCUGGCGGCGUGCCUAAUACAUGCAAGUCGAGCGAACAGACGAGGAGCUUGCUCCUCUGACGUUAGCGGCGGACGGGUGAGUAACACGUGGAUAACCUACCUAUAAGACUGGGAUAACUUCGGGAAACCGGAGCUAAUACCGGAUAAUAUAUUGAACCGCAUGGUUCAAUAGUGAAAGACGGUUUUGCUGUCACUUAUAGAUGGAUCCGCGCCGCAUUAGCUAGUUGGUAAGGUAACGGCUUACCAAGGCAACGAUGCGUAGCCGACCUGAGAGGGUGAUCGGCCACACUGGAACUGAGACACGGUCCAGACUCCUACGGGAGGCAGCAGUAGGGAAUCUUCCGCAAUGGGCGAAAGCCUGACGGAGCAACGCCGCGUGAGUGAUGAAGGUCUUCGGAUCGUAAAACUCUGUUAUUAGGGAAGAACAAAUGUGUAAGUAACUAUGCACGUCUUGACGGUACCUAAUCAGAAAGCCACGGCUAACUACGUGCCAGCAGCCGCGGUAAUACGUAGGUGGCAAGCGUUAUCCGGAAUUAUUGGGCGUAAAGCGCGCGUAGGCGGUUUUUUAAGUCUGAUGUGAAAGCCCACGGCUCAACCGUGGAGGGUCAUUGGAAACUGGAAAACUUGAGUGCAGAAGAGGAAAGUGGAAUUCCAUGUGUAGCGGUGAAAUGCGCAGAGAUAUGGAGGAACACCAGUGGCGAAGGCGACUUUCUGGUCUGUAACUGACGCUGAUGUGCGAAAGCGUGGGGAUCAAACAGGAUUAGAUACCCUGGUAGUCCACGCCGUAAACGAUGAGUGCUAAGUGUUAGG